CACAGGUGGUGCAUGGCUGUCGUCAGCUCGUGUCGUGAGAUGUUGGGUUAAGUCCCGCAACGAGCGCAACCCCCUGUCCGUAUGUUGCCAGCAUUAAGUUGGGGACUCAUACGAGACUGCCGGCGUCAAGCCGGAGGAAGGUGGGGAUGACGUCAAGUCAUCAUGCCCCUUAUGUCCUGGGCUGCACACGUGCUACAAUGGCCGGUACAAUGGGCUGCGAUGCCGCGAGGCUGAGCGAAUCCCAUAAAGCCGGUCCCAGUUCGGAUCGGAGGCUGCAACCCGCCUCCGUGAAGUCGGAGUUGCUAGUAAUCGCGGAUCAGCACGCCGCGGUGAAUACGUUCCCGGGCCUU
rnacentral:rRNA from 1 species